rnacentral:snoRNA from 1 species
GUUCAAUGAUGAUUUACUCUAUUAUCACGACGGUCAACGUAGCCUAGGCAUUGACGACCACAGCCUGUGACAGGGCUUAGAUCUGAUU